CAAGGUGGCCGUUACAGAAUUUUUCAAAGGAUGCAUUUACACAAGGAAAUGUCUCACCUGUUUAUCAGCAAUGGUGAAGCUGCUCCAGAGCUACCAUUGGUGAAAGAUCCGUUUGGACAUUGGCUGCUCAGAGUCUUGAGACAGGGCUAAGCAGAUGAAGUUUGAAAGUUGAGACUUACUGAGGACUAAUGACAUUGCUUGAAUUGAACCAGUGUUGGGUUUGAGUGACUGGCGUUAACAAUUGUGUGCAUUUCACCGCUCUUAUUAUUGAACAAAGCUUCAUACUCCUAACUUGGGAGGCCUGAUGACUUGCACUUGGAUUAUCAAAGGCUUUUGAAGGGCACUCUGGAAAAGGCCAGCUUUCCGGUACCUGCACUCAGGAAGCGGGAACUGCCCAAAGACCACAAAUUCCUGGAGCAUAUCUGUAACUAAGCACAGUACAAAAAGGCCAGUAUGCAAGAAGAGCAGCACCUUCGGAGCAAGGCAGAAUGUAGGCACAUCCAAGGUUGGUUCCUUAAUAUCCCAGUAACCACCCUGACCUGAGACACCUCUGGG